rnacentral:rRNA from 1 species
AUGAUGCCCUCGUCGCCAACCGGACUUGGACGUUGGUCCCUCGUCCCCCUGGAGCUAACAUCAUCACCGGCAAGUGGGUAUUUCGGCAUAAGUUUCUUCCGGAUGGCUCUUUGGACAGGUACAAGGCCCGUUGGGUUGUUCGCGGCUUUGCACAACGUGCCGGCGUUGAUUUCUAGGAGACCUUCUCCCCGGUUGUCAAACCCGCCACGAUUCACGUUGUUCUUCAGCUCGCUGCAUCUCGUCAUUGGCCUGUUCAUCAGCUCGACAUCAACAACGCUUUUCUUUAUGGUCAUCUCCAAGAGCGUGUUCUCUGUCAGCAGCCUACUGGUUUUGUUGAUCCCACUCGACCUGAUGAUGUCUGCUUGCUCUCACGGUCUCUAUAUGGUCUGA